rnacentral:rRNA from 1 species
GUCCACGGUGUAAACGCUGCGGGCUUGGUGUUGGGGAUCCUACGAGGGUGUCCAGUGCCGGAGAGAAGUUGUUAAGCCCGCCGCCUGGGGGAGUACGAUCGCAAGAUUGAAACUUAAAGGAAUUGGCGGGGGGAGCACUGCAACGGGUGGAGCGUGCGGUUCAAUUGGAUUCAACGCCGGAAAACUCACCAGGAGCGACUGUUACAUGAAGGUCAAGCUGAUGACUUACCUAA